rnacentral:rRNA from 1 species
AACAGGAUUAGAUACCCUGGUAGUCCACGCCCUAAACGAUGUACACUAGUUGUUGUGAGGCUCGACCUUGCAGUAAUGCAGUUAACACAUUAAGUGUACCGCCUGGGGAGUACGGUCGCAAGAUUAAAACUCAAAGGAAUAGACGGGGACCCGCACAAGCGGUGGAGCAUGUGGUUUAAUUCGACGAUACACGAAGAACCUUACCUGGACUUGACAUAGUAAGAAUGAUUUAGAGAUAGAUUAGUGUCUGCUUGCAGAAACUUGCAUACAGGUGCUGCACGGCUGUCGUCAGCUCGUGUCGUGAGAUGUUGGGUUAAGUCCCGCAACGAGCGCAACCCUCGUCCUUAGUUGCUAACAGUUCGGCUGAGAACUCUAAGGAGACUGCCUACGCAAGUAGGAGGAAGGUGAGGAUGACGUCAAGUCAUCAUGGCCCUUACGUCCAGGGCUACACACGUGCUACAAUGGGGUAUACAAAGAGCAGCAAUACGGUGACGUGGAGCAAAUCUCAAAAAUGCCUCCCAGUUCGGAUUGUAGUCUGCAACUCGACUACAUGAAGUUGGAAUCGCUAGUAAUCGUAGAUCAGCUAUGCUACGGUGAAUACGUUCCCGGGUCUUGUACUCACCGCCCGUCACGCCAUGGGAGUUGAACUCAUUCGAAGCGGGGAUGCUAAAGUAGCUACCUUCCACAGUGGAUUCAGCGACUGGGGUGAAGUCGUAACAAGGUAACC